GGUAACAGGUACACUUUUUUCAUGCGGGUCGAUUUUCGGGUACCACACUAUCUGUGUCUGACCCGACCCGUUUCCAUCCCUAUGCACGACUAAUUAAAAAACAUUAAAGUUGCAUAUUAUAAGUUCAGUUUAAUAUAAAGUGUGUGAAAAUGAUAUUUUUAAGAUUAAUUACUAUAUAUAAAGUAUUCACUACAAAAACUAUUAAUUUUAGGAGAGGAUUAUUUCGUGCAGUUUUGGAAAACCCCAAUACAUUCCGGCGAUUUGUGUUUAAACCCGUAGGUACCUUUUUUUUAAAAAAAAAAAAUUCUGGCGCUUCCUAAUGAAAGCCAUCCCUAAAAUAUUUUUUUAUUUUAAAAUAAGUUUUCAGUGAUCGUUAAUAUUAGAAAAGCUCUCGCACCUUCAUUUCCAAUUCUGCCCUAAUCCCUUUUCUUCUAAGCACUCUCAUUUCUUCCCCUGCGCAGGCUUGCCUUCAUCACACUCUUUCUCGAUCUUUCCCGUUGCGUGUUCGUUCGUGUUUCGUUUUGUUUUGUGUCUUCCCCUACUUGGGCUGAGCAUCGUGGUCGAGGCGAGAUCGAAGCGGCGAGGUCGAGGCGGCGAGUUUCCGUCUCCGUGGUAUGUUCAUCUUACCUAAUCUUCAUUUUUAUCACAAAAACAUUAGUUGUGGUGACUUCUCUGUAUCUUCAUUUUUCACUCUAACCUAAUCUUUAUCGUUUCUAAAGAUCACCUCCUUCAGGUUCAUGAUUUCUAUGUUUAUGC
rnacentral:lncRNA from 1 species